CUGUUAUAGGCCAAGAUUUUAGAACAGAGGCAACAAACUCAUCAAUUAAAAGUUCCUCUUAAGCAUGGUCCUCUGGUAGCAUCUCAAGGAGUGGAACCCUAGAGAGGGUAUCAACUGCAGUGAGGCUGUUUCCAGGCCUAGGACCUUGAUUGCUGGGCAGCCUAGGAGAAUCAUGUGGAGACCAUCCACCACAUAUAUCUCUUGGAAUAUAGUGUCUCGACCAUGUCUGAGGGCUGGAGAUUUGGCUACUGGCAGAGCUGACUACUCUUUCUGAUGUCAAACGCCACCUUUCACCAGGAAUCUGAUGUCAAACAUCAGAUACUUAUUGUGCAGAGUCAGAAUUUGGGAGAUGAUUUUGAUAUGCCAGUUCUAGAUGAGAUCACGCUCCCCCG